CGAACUGCGAUAAGUAAUGUGAAUUGCAGAAUUCAGUGAAUCAUCGAAUCUUUGAACGCACCUUGCGCUCCUUGGUAUUCCUUGGAGCAUGCCUGUUUGAGUAUCAUGAAAUCUUCAAAGUAAAUCUUUUGUUAACUCAAUUGGUUUCUACUUUGGUAUUGGAGGUCUUUGCAGCUUCACACCUGCUCCUCUUUGUUCAUUAGCUGGAUCUCAGUGUUAUGCUUGGUUCCACUCGGCGUGAUAAGUUAUCUAUCGCUGAGGACACUGUAAAAGGUGGCCAAGGUAAAUGCAGAUGAACCGCUUCUAAUAGUCCAUUGACUUGGACAAUACUUUUAUGAUCUGAUCUCAAAUCAGGUAGGACUACCCGCUGAACUUAAGC
rnacentral:misc_RNA from 1 species